rnacentral:rRNA from 1 species
AGAGUUUGAUCAUGGCUCAGAUUGAACGCUGGCGGCAGGCCUAACACAUGCAAGUCGAACGGUAACAGGAAGAAGCUUGCUUCUUUGCUGACGAGUGGCGGACGGGUGAGUAAUGUCUGGGAAACUGCCUGAUGGAGGGGGAUAACUACUGGAAACGGUAGCUAAUACCGCAUAACGUCGCAAGACCAAAGAGGGGGACCUUCGGGCCUCUUGCCAUCGGAUGUGCCCAGAUGGGAUUAGCUUGUUGGUGGGGUAACGGCUCACCAAGGCGACGAUCCCUAGCUGGUCUGAGAGGAUGACCAGCCACACUGGAACUGAGACACGGUCCAGACUCCUACGGGAGGCAGCAGUGGGGAAUAUUGCACAAUGGGCGCAAGCCUGAUGCAGCCAUGCCGCGUGUAUGAAGAAGGCCUUCGGGUUGUAAAGUACUUUCAGCGGGGAGGAAGGGAGUAAAGUUAAUACCUUUGCUCAUUGACGUUACCCGCAGAAGAAGCACCGGCUAACUCCGUGCCAGCAGCCGCGGUAAUACGGAGGGUGCAAGCGUUAAUCGGAAUUACUGGGCGUAAAGCGCACGCAGGCGGUUUGUUAAGUCAGAUGUGAAAUCCCCGGGCUCAACCUGGGAACUGCAUCUGAUACUGGCAAGCUUGAGUCUCGUAGAGGGGGGUAGAAUUCCAGGUGUAGCGGUGAAAUGCGUAGAGAUCUGGAGGAAUACCGGUGGCGAAGGCGGCCCCCUGGACGAAGACUGACGCUCAGGUGCGAAAGCGUGGGGAGCAAACAGGAUUAGAUACCCUGGUAGUCCACGCCGUAAACGAUGUCGACUUGGAGGUUGUGCCCUUGAGGCGUGGCUUCCGGAGCUAACGCGUUAAGUCGACCGCCUGGGGAGUACGGCCGCAAGGUUAAAACUCAAAUGAAUUGACGGGGGCCCGCACAAGCGGUGGAGCAUGUGGUUUAAUUCGAUGCAACGCGAAGAACCUUACCUGGUCUUGACAUCCACGGAAGUUUUCAGAGAUGAGAAUGUGCCUUCGGGAACCGUGAGACAGGUGCUGCAUGGCUGUCGUCAGCUCGUGUUGUGAAAUGUUCGUCGUAGUCCGGAUUGGAGUCUGCAACUCGACUCCAUGAAGUCGGAAUCGCUAGUAAUCGUGGAUCAGAAUGCCACGGUGAAUACGUUCCCGGGCCUUGUACACACCGCCCGUCACACCAUGGGAGUGGGUUGCAAAAGAAGUAGGUAGCUUAACCUUCGGGAGGGCGCUUACCACUUUGUGAUUCAUGACUGGGGUGAAGUCGUAACAAGGUAACCGUAGGGGAACCUGCGGUUG